UACGAAGGGUGCAAACGUUGCUCAGAAUUAUUGGGCGUAAAGCGCACGUAGGCGGCUUUGUAAGUCGGAUGUGAAAUCCCUCGGCUUAACCAAGGAAGUGCAUCCGAAACUACAGAGCUUGAGUACUUAAGAGGAUCGCGGAAUUCCCGGUGUAGAGGUGAAAUUCGUAGAUAUCGGGAGGAACACCAGUGGCGAAGGCGGCGAUCUGGGAAGAUACUGAGGCUGAGGUGCGAAAGCGUGGGGAGCAAACAGG
rnacentral:rRNA from 1 species